rnacentral:lncRNA from 10 species
CUUCCAGUUGCAGCAGCAUCUCUGCCUCUGUCACUCAUGCGCUCAGCACCAAAAGGUCCUUGGAUGGCAGAACAGAGUAGCCGGUGAUGGGUGGGGUGGCUCUGGCUAGAGCCUUGCUACUCACCUGCCUACGGAUCUGGCCGGUCAUGUUUCUAGGAAGCAGUAACUCUGAACAGCGGAGAUAAAGGGGUCAUGCAGGCCCGAGGAGCACCUGGCCAGGUCAUUAUCUGGCCCUGUGCAGAGGACCUUGGGCAAGACACUUCCCAUCCCCUUAUUCCCCAAAAUAAGAGAAGUAGGCCUGAGUCCCUCUUCACAGUCUUCCAAAAUCCAGUUUUCAUAAUUAAAAAAAAUUUUUUGGCCAGGCGUGGUGGCUUACGCCUGUAAUCCCAACACUUUGGGAGGCUGAGGCAGGUGGAUCACCUGAGGUCAGGAGUUCGAGACCAGCCUGGGCAACAUGGUGAAACCAUAUCUCUACUAAAAAUACAAAAAUUAUCUGGGCAUGGUGGCACGUGCCUGUAAUUCCAGCUACUUGGGAGGCUGAGGCACAAGAAUCACUUAAACCCGGGAGGUGGAGGUUACAGUGAGCCGAGAUCGCGCCAUUGCACUCCAGCUUGGGUGACAAGAGCAAAACUCCCUCUCAAAAAAAAAAAAAAAAAAACUUCAACAAAAUAAAUAAUAAAAGUAAGAGAUGAUAACCCAUAGACCAAAAAAAAAAAAAAAUUCGUGAGUCUCUAUCGACAGAAAUAAAUAAUUAAAUGGAUAAAUAAAUAAAUGGAAGAGAAGGGACAGCUCUUCCUCGGUAGAAUUCCAGCUGACACAUGUCAAAGGAAUUGGAGAAGCAGAAUAUCACCAUUAGGCACACACCACAGUCAUAACAGUUGCAGACAAAACCGUGAACACUGAAUGGCAAAAAUUAGUGGGAGAAAGUCUAACGAGAAACAGGAUAUUUGCAUGGUCUCCUGGUACCUCCUCACAAGAGAUUGAUUAGCUACUAAGGGAAAAAUAGUAAUUUUACAGUGAAGAAGCACUUAAGCAAGCACUCAAAGUGAACACCUCCAGGAAUAAGUCACAUGGACAUCGGUAUCCCCUGAAAGGAUGCACUGGGGACUGCGUCACUUCUGUGGUGUUCUUGCCAAAACCACAAAACUUCAAUCCAAUUGUGAAAAAAGUGUCCAUCAAAUCCAGGGCAUAUCGCACAAAAUAGGCCAGACUCAUCAGAAAUGUCAAGGUUAUGAAACACAAGGAAAAG